rnacentral:lncRNA from 1 species
CGGAACUCAACUAUCAUUGUCCUCGUUGAUCUCACCUGGUAUGUGAUGUGGCGGGGUGCAACCAUUGCUUAAGUACCCCGUGAAACUGAAAAUGAAAGUUUGACAUAGUAAAAUAUACCAAUACCCAAAUUUACCUAAAUCUGCCCCACGAGUGAUAUUUUUCUGUCAAUCACAAUCAUGUGAAACUAAAAACACCUAAAUAUAACCUGACAACUUAAAAUUUGCUCAGGAAAUGACAGAGUAGAUCAAGAAUCACCAAAACAACUCACCUCAGAUGAAGCACACAUCAAGGAGACAUGCUUCACCUCCAAUGAUCUACCUCUACCUCACACACAUCAUGGCUCCUCCUACAUCAAGCCAUCAUGGAAGGAAAAAUCUAAGAAUGUGCACUGAAAGUCUGAAACCUCAAGUAGUUUCACCUCGGAUAGCUUGCGGCUGGACCACGAACGUGAGCAAGAAGGUGGAAGCGUAACUUGGCUGGUGUGGGUGAGUUCUUCCAGGGCACGCCCCGGAGUAAGAAGACAGCAGAGAAAAAUCUUACCACCUGUGGUGGGCUCCACUGGCUGGCCACCGGCAUGCUUGUCCCAUCCUCCAUCAUCGAGUUGGUGACGAGAGAAUAGACGAGGCGAGUGAGGCCGGCGACGGCGAAUGGCCCCUGGCCGGCGGCGCCGCCUCCACGAGGACCAGCCUGCUCCUUCACCCUGUCCCCGCCUCAUCCCUCUUCCCUCUUCCCUCGAGCCUCCUGUCCCCGCCUCAUCCCUCUUCCCUCUUCCCUCGAGCCUCCUGUCCCCGCCUCUUCCCUCUGGAGCCUCACCCGCGACGGGCCGACAGCUGCUUGUCCUGGUCGCCCGCCUCCACUGCCCCUUCGCCCCACCACCGGGCUCGCCUAACUUGCGCCAGAUCUGGAACCAGGCGCCGCCGACGACCGGAUAAACAACGGAGAGAGGGAAGUCGAGGUGGGGAAGCAGCAACGGUGGCGGAGGAGGAGUAGGUGGCGGCGAGGCCCUGGUGACGAGCGGGGAGGAGGGAGGGGCAGUGGAUCGAGGGGAAAGUGGGAGCUAGGUUGUGCGGCGGCUGGUGUGCGAGCGAGAUUGGGUGCCUAGCGCGCGGACCAGAUUGGGCAAA